AGGUUGCUAGGGAAACCUUUGUUCCUCAAUUAGGUCUAAGACAAAAAAAAAGCUUCUUUAUCUGUAGGAUCCAAGCUUUAGCUACUAAGGGGUCGGGGCCUCCUUCAAAGUGGGGCGCGGGGGUUAAGUUUCAUAAACUCCACUAUGUUAUGAGAGAUAGAUCUCUCAUCUUUGCAAUAGUUAGGGCAGGAGGGUGUUGGCAGUGAUUUGAUUGAUUUUGGCCUACAG
rnacentral:lncRNA from 1 species